rnacentral:tRNA from 1 species
GGGGGCGUAGCUCAGCUGGGAGAGUGCUGGCAUCGCAAGCCAGAGGUCGGGAGUUCGAUCCUCCUCGCCUCCACCA